rnacentral:rRNA from 1 species
GGCGCAAGCCUGAUGCAGCCAUGCCGCGUGUGUGAAGAAGGCCUUCGGGUUGUAAAGCWCUUUCAGUAAGGAGGAAAGGGUAGUCUUUAAUAGAKGCUAUCUGUGACGUUACUUACAGAAGAAGCACCGGCUAACUCCGUGCCAGCAGCCGCGGUAAUACGA